rnacentral:misc_RNA from 1 species
GCAAACUUGGUCAUUUAGAGGAAGUAAAAGUCGUAACAAGGUUUCCGUAGGUGAACCUGCGGAAGGAUCAUUAUUGAAUAAAAUUGGUUAGAUUGUCUGCUGGCUUUUUAGAAGCAUGUGCACAUCUAAUCCAUUUUUGAUCUCCUGUGCACCUUGUGUAGGCCUGAAUUGUAUUUAAGUCAGUAAUGACUUGAUUUUUGAAAUUGCUGUGUUUAUAAAUAAGCCAGCUUUUCAUUGUUUCAGGUCUAUGUCUACAUCAUACUCUAUUAAAAUGUUUUUCGGAAUUUGCAUUUUAAUAAUAAUAAUACAACUUUCAACAACGGAUCUCUUGGUUCUCGCAUCGAUGAAGAACGCAGC